rnacentral:rRNA from 1 species
AGUGAACGCUGGCGGUAGGCCUAACACAUGCAAGUCGAACGGCAGCACAUUAAGAGCUUGCUCUUACGGGUGGCGAGUGGCGGACGGGUGAGGAAUACAUCGGAAUCUACUUUUUCGUGGGGGAUAACUUAGGGAAACUUAUGCUAAUACCUCAUACCACCUACGGGUGAAAGCAGGGGAUCUUCGUACCUUGCGCGAUUGAAUGAGUCUAUGUCGGAUUAGUUAGUUGGCAGGGUAAAGGCCCACCAAGGCGACGAUCCGUAGCUGGUCUGAGAGGAUGAUCAGCCACACUGGAACUGAAACACGGUCAAGACUCCUACGGGAGGCAGCAGUGGGGAAUAUUGGACAAUGGGCGCAAGCCUAAUCCAGCCAUACCGCGUGGGUGAAGAAGGCCUUCGGGUUGUAAAGCCCUUUUGUUGGGAAAAAAAAGCAGCAGAUUAAUACCCCGCUGUUCUGACGGUACCCAAAGAAUAAGCACCGGCUAACUUCGUG